AAGCUCGUAGUUGAAUUUCGGAAACGGUAGGUUGGUCGUGCCUCUGGUACGUAUUGGCCUUACCGGUUCCUCCUUUCUGACGAACCAUGAUGCCAUUAAUUUGGUGUUGUGGGGAAUCAGGACUGUUACUUUGAAAAAAUUAGAGUGUUUAAAGCAGGCUAAAGCUUGAAUAGAUUAGCAUGGAAUAAUGAAAUAGGACGUUUGAUCUUAUUUUGUUGGUUUCUAAGAUCGACGUAAUGAUUAAUAGGGAUAGUUGGG
rnacentral:rRNA from 1 species